rnacentral:rRNA from 1 species
GUAGGUGGCAAGCGUUGUCCGGAAUUAUUGGGCGUAAAGCGCGCGCAGGCGGUUUUUUAAGUCUGAUGUGAAAGCCCACGGGCUCAACCGAGGAGGGUCAUUGGAAACUGGAGAACUCGAGUACAGAAGAGGAAAGCGGAAUUCCACGUGUAGCGGUGAAAUGCGUAGAGAUGUGGAGGAACACCAGUGGCGAAGGCGGCUUUCUGGUCUGUAACUGACGCUGAGGCGCGAAAGCGUGGGGAGCAAACAGGAUUAGAUACCCUGGUAGUCCACGCCGUAAACGAUGAGUGCUAAGUGUUAGGGGGUUUCCGCCCCUUAGUGCUGCAGCUAACGCAUUAAGCACUCCGCCUGGGGAGUACGGCCGCAAAGGCUG